rnacentral:rRNA from 1 species
AGCGAACGUUAGCGGCGCGCCUAACACAUGCAAGUCGCACGAGAAAGGGAGCAAUCCCCGGUACAGUGGCGCACGGGUGAGUAACACGUAGAUGACCUUCCCUGGAGUGGUGGAUAACCUGCCGAAAGGCGGGCUAAUACAGCAUGGGACCACAUGGUUUUGACCGAGUGGUGAAAGCGGGCCUCUGUUCACAAGCUCGCGCUCUGGGAUGGGUCUGCGUCCCAUCAGCUAGUUGGUGAGGUAAUGGCUCACCAAGGCAUCGACGGGUAGCUGGUCUGAGAGGAUGACCAGCCACACUGGAACUGAGACACGGUCCAGACUCCUACGGGAGGCAGCAGUGGGGGAAUCUUGCGCAAUGGGCGAAAGCCUGACGCAGCGACGCCGCGUGGGUGAUGAAGGCC